AUGACUGUUGAGUUGCAUUUUCAUGUUGGAUACAUGACGAUUGGACUAUUGAGGUUUUGACCAUGCUUGCUUGCCAUUUGUGCUCAUUCGCACAUGCUUGUGAGGGUCGCUCCCCACAAGCCGGCACUCCGGAGUUAGCCUACGCGACAUAUGCUCGCUCGUGCGGUAUUGAGAAGCCUACGGGGUCGAGUGGGACAGACACAUUCCAAGAGCAGGAAUGUUGGGCUACCACAGGCACUUAGGCGGCACAAGCCGGACUACACCCGUGUAGAUCCUGAAUGAGAUUGAACUAGAAUACUAAACAACAAGUUGACAAUCACUACUAGAUAGGUUAUAGUAGUUGGAUUUUCUUGACAUGCUAUGGCAUAGGGUUGGACUUUUGGGAUAUUUAGUGUACU
rnacentral:lncRNA from 1 species